UGUAAAGUGGCUGAGGGUAAGGCGGUGAAUUGUAAAUUCAUUAACAAGUGAAUGCUUCUUUAUUA
rnacentral:tRNA from 1 species